GACGUAGGGCGCAAGCGUUGUCCGGAUUUAUUGGGCGUAAAGAGCUCGUAGGCGGCCUGUCGCGUCGACCGUGAAAACCCGCAGCUCAACUGCGGGCUUGCGGUCGAUACGGGCAGGCUGGAGUUCGGUAGGGGAGACUGGAAUUCCUGGUGUAGCGGUGAAAUGCGUAGAUAUUGGGAGGAACACCGGUGGCGAAGGCGGCCCCCUGGACCGGUACUGACGCUGAGGCGCGAAAGCGUGGGUAGCAAACGGG
rnacentral:rRNA from 1 species